GGCAAAGUACAAUUACAUGCAUAUGGCAGUUAUAGAGAAAUAAAAUGCUGGUGUGUAGGAACAGGCAUAUAUAGGCAGCAUGGUCAAUUUACCCCUCCAGCUAUGUGUGGAAUAAAGUUCUGUGCAAGUAGGCAGGUCCGGAUCCUGGUACAAAGCCACAGAGAAAUUGAAGUUCGCUUGUGGAGGAAAUGUUACUGAAUGUCCACUGUACCCAAUAGCGAGAAGAUAACGGGAAUAGCCGUGCAGAUGCAGUCUAACCGUUUUCAUCUGU